AGCUUUGCACAGUAGCAGUAUCAUAGCCCAUGAGGUUUAUCUGAGGCAUAAUUAUUGUUAUUUGAAAAAUUUUCACAUAUGUAUAUAUACAUAAUAAAUAUGUUUGUGUGUGUGUAUGUCUGGUAUACAUGUGCAUAU
ensembl:snRNA U4 U4 spliceosomal RNA